rnacentral:rRNA from 1 species
GUCUGACGCAGCCACACCGCGUGAAGGACGAAGGCCUAUGGGUUGUAAACUUCUUUUGAGAGUCUGGAAAAUCUUGAUCCGACUCUAGAAUAAGCUCCGGCUAACUCUGUGCCAGAAGCCUCGGUUAGACGGAGGGAGCAAGCACUAUCCGGAUUUACUGGGCGUAUAGUGUUGCGUAGGCGACUUUUCAAGUCGAAAGUUAAAACUUUGGGCCCAACCCAAAGCUCGCUUUCGAUACUGAUCAGCUUGAGAAUACUCAAGGUAAACAGAAUUCCUGGCGUAGGGGUUAAAUCCGUAGAUAUCAGGAGGAAUACCAAUGGCGUAGGCAGUUUACUGGAGUACUUCUGACGCUGAGGCACGAAAGCGUGGGGAUCAAAACGGAUUAGAUACCCGUGUAGUCCACGCCCUAAACUAUGAAUGCUCGAUGUUGGUCCCGUCAAUCGGAUCGGCAUCUUAGCUAACGCGUUAAGCAUUCCGCCUCUAUAGUACGACCGCAAGGUUAAAACAGAAAGGAAUAGACGGGGGC